rnacentral:sRNA from 1 species
GGAGUUUCCUUCUGCACCCGACACUAACGUCGAGCAGAUGGCUGUCAAUACCCAUGUCGAAAACACUAUUUUUGAUGCAGUUUGUUUUGUUGCGCUAAAUUUAAAAUCCCCAGCAGUGUAAGGAGCCGCGAACAAUGUUAUAUAAGUGGGUUAGAUUUGUUGCGCUGUUCAA